UCCAGUAACACGCUUAAUCUCCUAACGGAGAACGGGGGAACCAAAUGUGGAAGCUUUGCAUGACCUGAUUAGUCGGCAAAGGCGGAAGCAUUGAUCCAAAUGGGGUGAAUUUCGCAACCCUGCAUCGGGCACGUACGAGAUCGUCAUGAUCCGCCGAUAGCAGAGCGAAUAGGGCAGGAUCUCUAGCCCGAAUCCGACAGCUAACCUCGUAAGCGAAUAAGAGAGAUCAA
rnacentral:sRNA from 2 species